AAAAAAAACUAAAAAA
rnacentral:sRNA from 1 species